rnacentral:rRNA from 1 species
UACGUAGGGGGCAAGCGUUGUCCGGAAUCAUUGGGCGUAAAGCGCGUGUAGGCGGCUUCGUAAGUCCGUUGUGAAAGUCCAGGGCUCAACCCUGGAAUGCCGAUGGAUACUGCGGAGCUAGAGUCCGGAAGAGGCGAGUGGAAUUCCCGGUGUAGCGGUGAAAUGCGCAGAUAUCGGGAGGAACACCUAUGGCGAAGGCAGCUCGCUGGGACGUUACUGACGCUGAGACGCGAAAGCGUGGGGAGCAAACAGG